UUUUUAUGUCCCCCACUAUAGUAGUGGGGGACAUAUUGUUUUUGCCCUGUCUGUUGGUCUGUUGGUUGGUCUGUUGGUUUGCGCCAACUUAAACAUUUUGCAAUAACAUUUGCUAUAUUGAAUAUAGCAACUUGAUAUAUGGCAUGCAUGUGUAUCUCAUGGAGCUGCACUUUUUGAGUUGUGAAAGGUCGAGGUCAAGGUCAUCCUUCAAGGUCAGAGGUCAAAUAUAUGUGGCCAAAAUCGCUCAUUUUAUGAAUGCUUUUGCAAUAUUGAAGAUAGCAAAUUGAUAUUUGGCAUGCAUGUGUAUCUCAUGGAGCUGCACAUUUUGAGUGGUUAAAGGUCAAGAUCAAGGUCAUCCUUCAAGGUCAGAGGUCAAAUAUAUGUGGCCCAAAUCGCUUAUUUAAUGAAUACUUUUGAAAUAUUGAAGAUAGCAACUUGAUAUUUGGCAUGCAUGUGUAUCUCAUGGAGCUGCACAAUUUGAGUGGUGAAAGGUCAAGGUCAUCCUUCAAGGUCAGAGGUCAAAUAUAUGUGGCCAAAAUCGCGUAUUUUAUAAAUACUUUUGCAAUAUUGAAGAUAGCAACUUGAUAUUUGGCAUGCAUGUGUAUCUCAUGGAGCUGCACAUUUUGAGUGGUGAAAGCUCAAGGUCAAGGUCAUCCUUCAAGGUCAAAUAUAUGGGUCAAAAUUGCUCAUGUAAUGUCACUUCUGCAAUAUUGAAGCUAGCAAUUUUAUAUUUGAAAUGCAUGUGUAUCUCAUGGAGCUGCACAUUUUGAGUGGUGAAGGGUCAAGGUCAAGGUCAUCCUUCAAGGUCAAACGUCAUAUAGGGGGACAUUGUGUUUCACAAACGCAUCUUGUUAAAUCUUGUUUGUGUUUCAGAUAUGGCGCUAUGAAAAAAAGGUUUCUUGUUAGAUCAAACAUCUGUUUCUGCUCAAGAAAUCAUGAAGACUUGUUUAAAUUGCUCUCAAAAUGGAAAUGUUAGCAUGGUGGUCACUUUCAAAAGUUGCAGUAUGACUAAUUUAGUGUUGCCUAUAAUGCCUCACUGCAUGAGUGGCCAAAAAGAAAUUGUAGUACUGUUUAUGAUUGGUUGUUUAUUAGUUUCAUUCCCAUAGACUCCUAGAUCUUAUACAGAACAUAUGUGUGAUGAUGAUAUGUAGAGAUUGUAAUAAAAAAACGUAUCUGAAAGCACUGCUGAAUUAAAGACAAAAUAUAAGGAACGUGUAUAUUCUAGAUCAUAUUACUAUCUUGUAAGAAUACCAGGGUGCAGGAUCAACAGGGUUCUCGGGGUUUACACAUGGGCUGGACAGAAGGAAAACACACUGUCAAUUAAGUGCAUUACAGACAGUUUUUAUAUGUUAUUUGGAAAAAAAGCUCCACUUACUGGUGUGUUUUCAUCCAUUAACAUCCAUUUGUGAACCCCAUAUAGUCAUGUGAUCCUGCACCCUGAAAUACUCUCCAGCCCCAUGGAUCAUCAUUAUUAUAUUGCGAGAUUAUGCUAUAAUUGUUUUAGAAUGGUGUUUUAAUCACUAUUCAUUGUCAAUUCAAAAUAAUACUUGUUAAACACUGUAAUAAGCUGCUGAUAUCAUGUCACAUACACAUAUUUUUGUAAUAUGGUGAUGUUGACUAAGCAUUAUUUCCUCAGAUUGAUGUUAUCUUACUA